rnacentral:rRNA from 1 species
AUUGAACGCUGGCGGCAGGCCUAACACAUGCAAGUCGAACGAGUGGCGGACGGGUGCGUAAUGUCUGGGAAACUGCCUGCUGGAGGGGGAUAACUACUGGAAACGGUAGCUAAUACCGCAUACCAUCAGAUGUGCCCAGAUGGGAUUAGCUAGUUGGUGGGGUAACGGCUCACCAAGGCGACGAUCCCUAGCUGGUCUGAGCGGAUGACAAGCCAAACUGGAACUGAGACACGGUCCAGACUCCUACGGGAGGCAGCAGUGGGGAAUAUUGCAAAAUGGGCGCAAGCCUGAUGCAGCCAGGACGCGUGCAUGAAGAAGGCCUUCGGGUUGUAAAGUACUUUCGGCGGGGAGGCGUUACCCGCAGAAGAAGCACCGGCUAACUCCGUGCCAGCAGCCGCGGUAAUUC